UGGGGAAUAUUGCGCAAUGGGGGAAACCCUGACGCAGCGACGCCGUGUGAGGGAAGAAGGCUUUCGGGUCGUAAACCUCUGUCAGGAAGGAAGAACCUCUCAAGGCUGAACAAGCCUUGGGACUGACGGUACUUCCAGAGGAAGCACCGGCUAACUCCGUGCCAGCAGCCGCGGUAAUACGGAGGGUGCAAGCGUUAAUCGGAAUCACUGGGCGUAAAGCGCGCGUAGGCCGUCUUUUAAGUCAGACGUGAAAGCCCUCGG
rnacentral:rRNA from 1 species